AGUUUUGAUCUGGCUCAGGAUGAACGCUGGCGGCGUGCCUAUACAUGCAAGUCGAGCGAAUGGAUUAAGAGCUUUGCUCUUAUGAAGUUAGCGGCGGACGGGUGAGUAACACGUGGGUAACCUGCCCAUAAGACUGGGAUAACUCCGGGAAACCGGGGCUAAUCCGGAUAACAUUUUGAACCGCAUGGUUCGAAAUUGAAAGGCGGCUUCGGCUGUCACUUAUGGAUGGACCCGCGUCGCAUUAGCUAGUUGGUGAGGUAACGGCUCACCAAGGCAACGAUGCGUACCGACCUGAGAGGGUGAUCGGCCACACUGGGACUGAGACACGGCCCAGACUCCUACGGGAGGCAGCAGUAGGGAAUCUUCCGCAAUGGACGAAAGUCUGACGGAGCAACGCCGCGUGAGUGAUGAAGGCUUUCGGGUCGUAAAACUCUGUUGUUAGGGAAGAACAAGUGCUAGUUGAAUAAGCUGGCACCUUGACGGUACCUAACCAGAAAGCCACGGCUAACUACGUGCCAGCAGCCGCGGUAAUACGUAGGUGGCAAGCGUUAUCCGGAAUUAUUGGGCGUAAAGCGCGCGCAGGUGGUUUCUUAAGUCUGAUGUGAAAGCCCACGGCUCAACCGUGGAGGGUCAUUGGAAACUGGGAGACUUGAGUGCAGAAGAGGAAAGUGGAAUUCCAGUGUAGCGGUGAAAUGCGUAGAGAUAUGGAGGAACACCA
rnacentral:rRNA from 1 species